rnacentral:rRNA from 1 species
CGCAACGCAGCUCAGGUACGCGCGCCGUCGGAGCUCGCCGGCCAGCCCCCGAUAUCGAUAUCUAUCUCUGCUCGUCAGUGCUGAGUCGAAUCAGCCGUCGCGUGGAUUCCGCGCUGAUCUCCUUCUAUUUUUGCGCAUCUGCCAGGUGGGAGAUUGGAGUACGAGUAUCUAUCCAUCCAUCUUAACCGCCACCCCUUGCAUGCUCUGCGGCGGCGGCGUGUCGAUGGUCAUGGACGCCGCGCUGCACGACUGGUGCGGGCCGCUGCCCGGCGGAUCCAAGCUGCCAAUCUACCCCCAAAUCCCCGACGGGUUCACCGCGGAGGAGCUCGAGUCGCUGCUGCUCUUCCCGUCCGACGGCGCCGACGCGGGCGCCUACCUGAAUGCCGCCGCGGCGCCGGCCCUGCUCCCGCCCCCGCCCGCCUCCGCCGGCAGCGCGUCGCCGCCGCCGCCGAGAGACGCCUCGGCCCAUUCGCCGUCUGCUGCUGCUGCGGCGGCGGGCCAGGCGCAUCCGCAGCCGGACGACUCGGAGGUGUUCUCGGACAUCGUGCUGGGCUACAUCAACCGCAUGCUCAUGGCCGAGGACAUCGACGAGAAGUUCGACCACUACCCGGCCCACCCGGCGCUGCUCGCCGCCGAGAAGCCCUUCCUCGAGAUCCUCGCCGACCAGCCGCCCUGCUCCGGCGGCAGCACGGUCGAGAGCCCCGACGGCAGCAGCGUCACCACCAGCUCCUUCAACAGCCACGGCUCUUGCAACUGCGCCGCGCCUUCCGGUGGUGGCCUCGGCGCCAUGCAGGCGCCGCCUGCUCUCGAGUUCCCCAGCGCGGAGUUCCUGCAGCCGCCGCAGUUCUACCAGGAUCUGAGCCCCGAGAGCUGCGUGGUGGAAGCAGGCGGCGCGUGGCCGUACGAUGCCAUGGAAUUCAACCCUCUUCCUGACGCGCUGCUCUCGCAGUCGUCGUCCUUCGCGUCUUCAAAUGGCAGCAGCGUUGCAUUUUCAGAGGGCUUCGAGCCGUGGCUCAGCACGGCGGCUGCUGUGCCUUCUGAUGCUGGUUUGAGCGAUCUUGUUCUGCAGAGCCAGCAAGCAGUGCAGUUCAGCCGAGGAUUUGAAGAGGGAAGCAGAUUUCUGCCUCAAGAGAGCAAGCUUGUGAUUGACAUCGACAGCUUACCGUCAGUUCGGGUUAAAGAAGAUAAGAAGGUUGUGGAGGUCAAGAGAGAGAAGGCUGAUUCUGAAGUAGCAAUUCACCGAGGAAAGAAGCAUUUCUAUGGUGACGACCUGGAUGCAGAUGAAGUGAGAUGCUGCAAGCAUUCAGCACCUGUGGUCGACGCGGAUCACCUUGUGCGGGAGAUGAUGGACAAGGUCUUGCUAUGCAACGGCGAGACAUGCUCUAGAGGUGUCAAGGAACUGCGUGAGGCCCUACAGCACGAUGUGGCAGCUCAUUCAGGUGGUGCCCAUGGCAAAGGGUCUGGCCAUGGUAAGGGCCGUGGCAAGAAACAAGUCAAACAGCCCAAGAAGGAGGUGGUCGACUUGGAGACUCUCCUCAUUCAUUGUGCUCAGUCUGUGUCCAUUGAUGACCGGCGGAGUGCAACUGAUCUCCUCAAGCAGAUCAGGCAGCAUGCAUCUGCCAAUGGUGAUGGUGACCAGCGUUUGGCGCACUGCUUUGCCAAUGGCCUUGAGGCGAGGCUUGCUGGUAAUGGAAGUCAGAUUUACAAGUUACACACCAUAUCACGGUUUGCAUGCGCUGAUAUUCUGAAAGCCUACCAACUGUACCUAGCAGCUUGCCCAUUCAAGAAGAUCUCUCAUUACUUUGCCAAUCAAACCAUUAUGAAUGCUGUGGAGAAAGCCAAGAAAGUUCACAUUGUCGACUUCGGCGUAUACUAUGGCUUUCAGUGGCCAUGUCUCAUUCAACGGCUAAGUAAAAGGCCUGGAGGCCCCCCAGAACUUCGGAUCACAGCAAUAGACACACCUCAGCCUGGUUUUCGCCCAGCAGAGCGCAUCGAGGAGAUUGGAAGAUAUCUAAGUGAUUAUGCUCAGACCUUCAAAGUUCCUUUCAAAUACCAUGGCAUCGCAUCUCAAUUUGAGGCUGUUCAGGUAGAGGAUCUCCACAUUGAGAAGGACGAGAUUCUGAUUGUCAACAGCAUGUUCAGGUUCAAGACUCUGAUGGAUGAGAGCGUGGUAGCUGAGAGUCCAAGGAACAUGGUAUUGAACACAAUAAGGAAGAUGAAGCCACAUGUGUUCAUUCAUGGGGUCACUAAUGGAUCCUAUAAUGCACCAUUCUUCGUCUCACGCUUCCGGGAGGCAUUGUUCCAGUUCUCUGCUCACUUUGACAUGUUGGAGGCUAACAUUCCCAGGGAUAAUGAGGAGAGGCUGCUCAUUGAGUCGACUAUUUUCAGUCGGGAGGCAAUUAAUGUAAUAUCUUGUGAGGGAAUGGAGAGGAUGGAGAGGCCAGAGACCUACAAGCAGUGGCAGGUGCGGAAUCAGAGGGCUGGGUUCAAGCAGCUCCCGCUGGACCCGGAAAUCAUGAAGCGUGCACGGGAGAAGGUGAAGUGCUACCACAAGAAUUUCAUCAUCGACGAGGACAACAGGUGGUUACUACAAGGAUGGAAGGGGCGUAUCCUGUACGCGCUCUCAACAUGGAAGGCGAAUCCCCAAUCUUCCUAGAUUCUGUAAAUGGUGACCUGUUCAUAUUUUUGGACUCUAGAGCUGAUUGUUCCUGGCCAACAACCUAUUAGUAGGUAAAAUGCUAUUUGAACCGGCACCAAAGAAACAAACACAUUUGUUCACCGGUGACAUGGUUCAUUUGUUUGUUGAUGCAGAUGAUGAACCUGAUUACUCUCCUGUAGCAUCUGCCUGUUGUAUGUGCUGCCCAUGCACGGUUAGUUUUCACAGGAACAGUUAGCAUUUUUGAUGGAGCAGGCUACUUAUGUUAGAUGUAGCAUAUAGGUUCUUCUUGCAUGGUCAGUCGUGUAUUAUAUUCGUUCUUCCAGAGUACUAUUCAGUAAUGUUUCAAGGAAUGUCUCAGCCAGUAACGGUCAGCCUUUUUCAUUUGCUUGAUUCAAAUUGUAAAUACGCCUUGUCUUGAUUUCCAUUAUGUAAAGAAUGCCUCUUUGCAUUGCAAGGUCAUGCACUCAUAUAUCCCUCUACUGUUUGGUCUUUCGUGCUUAUCUUAUUAAUCUUGUUUUACAUGCUGCACAGUGCUACCAGUCACCAAUAGUUGGUUUCAUUUGCCGGAUGGUGAUACAAUGUAACUGGUCACUUAAAUGUGACUCUGCCGUUGUACCUAACCAAUAAUGUUUGAGGUAAAUAAUAAUGAAAUACAAAAUCCCAGUCUGUUGAGUGACGUAGUCAUUGGCUGAUUUUUUGCCCUUUCACUGAUUCUGGUGUGAAAAUGCUAUAGUGCUGGUUCCUAUGAUAGAUUUGGACCCCGAUCAAAUGACGUGUUUUAUGAAACAAUUAGAUUGAAUCUUUUCAAGUUGAUGUCCUGUUUUCGAAUGGCAAGUUGAUACUCCCUCCGUAAAGAAAUAUAAGAGCGUUUAUAUCUUAUUGCAAGCUCAUAUAGGCCAGCAAACUGGGUUGCUGAGCUUUCUAGCCACAACUCGUUUUCCAGUCUGCCUUGUAUUUUUCAGUUGCCUGUCCAGUGUCCACAUUCAGAAAUACACCUAGGCUUGAAGUGCAACAACAGAGAAGUACUACUGGCAUUCUUGUUUAUUUCCUUGCUUGCUUAUCCAUUGCUCAUCUUGUUGCUGGUUUUGAGCCUGGCGAAUUAACAGACGAACCACCAACAGGUGCUACGCAACUACGGCCACAUAAAUACAUGAUGGACCAGGAGACGUGUAUGCUACAGCUCCAGACGUGUCUGACCAGGCCUGGGCAUCUAGAAGAACAUGGCCGGCAACGUGUGAAACUGUUGGGCACGACAGAUGGCGAGAUGGAUCCUCCCGCUGCUGCAACUGGCUGAAACCGAUCGCCCGCCAUGGCGCCAUGGACAUCGCUUUCCCCUGAAAAGCAACGGCGCAUCAGACCAAAGUUUAGGCAGCCUCCUUUUUUGCCGUAUGUACUGUCGAUUCCUCAUGCACUGGGGAGAUGGCAGAAAAGAUCGGCCCAAAGAAGAAUCCAGACAUGCCGGCACUGCAUUGCAAGGAAGAAACACCUCAAAGCUGCAACAGCGAUCGUAGUAGAUACUUCGCAGAUGCUGCGCGGAAUCCACGCCUUAUCGGAGGCCAAGCCGAGGUGCUACAAGUCUGGAGAAGUCUGUAAAACUCGUGGUGGAUAUAAUACAAUUACAGUCUAACACAACACCGCAACGUCGACCGCUGAAAGUUACCGCGAAAGCCACCGCAGCUCCGUGAUAACAACUACAGACAAAGGCAUGCCGUGGUCAUCACAAAAUCUGUCAAAUUACUAGUGACUGGAGUGCAACAUAUGCCGUUCACACCAGGUCAUCAGGCUGGCAAGGUUCGCCGAACCUGAUCUGUGGAGGUGGAGUGGAUGGAGCAGUUCGUGGCCUGGCUGCGAUCGAGGCACGCGCGGGCGAAUCAGGCGGAAGAUACCUGAAUAUUAUACUGCUCCCGCUAGAUUCGGUAGGAUCAAGCGCGGGAUAAUUAUGCAAAGGCGCAGCUGCCGCAGAUUUUAUUCGAUCGUGCAGCGAGAUGGCGGUGGCUGUGGCGGUGUGUUUGUGAGCUUUAAUUAAUGAAGUAUAUAAUCCGGUGUCACGGUGUAAAGGACAGGCUAGGCAUCAUAUGCGGGAACAGUGUUUCGCCUAGUCGUGCAUGCUGUGCGCAGUGGUCAUGUGAGGCAGAGACCUGGGAGAUCUGGAAAUGAUUAAUUAUGUUAUCUACGAGCUGAAUCUGAAACAUAGGAGCGCAACUUGUGGUUUCAUCAGUAGAAAAUGGUAGAGUUAGACUGGCUUCAGUGUAUAGUUUUUUCUUCUUCUUCUUCUUCUUCUUCAGAACAGCUUCAAUGUACUUUUAGUUUCUUUUUUGAGAACAACCUCGCUAACUUUGAUUGAUUCCCA